CCUAGGGGGGGCAGCAGUGGGGAAUAUUGGACAAUGGGGGCAACCCUGAUCCAGCCAUGCCGCGUGUGUGAAGAAGGCCCUCGGGUUGUAAAGCACUUUCAGUGAGGAAGAACGCCUGGUGGUUAAUACCCAUCAGGAAAGACAUCACUCACAGAAGAAGCACCGGCUAACUCCGUGCCAGCAGCCGCGGUAAUACGGAGGGUGCGAGCGUUAAUCGGAAUUACUGGGCGUAAAGCGCGCGUAGGUGGCUUGAUAAGCCGGUUGUGAAAGCCCCGGGCUCAACCUGGGAACGGCAUCCGGAACUGUCAAGCUAGAGUGCAGGAGAGGAAGGUAGAAUUCCCGGUGUAGCGGUGAAAUGCGUAGAGAUCGGGAGGAAUACCAGUGGCGAAGGCGGCCUUCUGGACUGACACUGACACUGAGGUGCGAAAGCGUGGGUAGCAAACAGGAUUAGAUACCCUAGUAGUC
rnacentral:rRNA from 1 species